CUUCUUUCUCCCCCGCUUCUCUUAUUUAUCUUUCCUUCUUUCUCUGUUUUUAAUCGUAAUUAUUAAAGAAUGGAGGUGGAGAGGAAAAUAAAACCCUUUUCUCCCCCCCUUUUAAUAAUUUUUUUUGCAGUACAUAAGCUGCGUACACACAAGCUAGAGGUACCCCAACAGCAUUCCUCAAGCAUAGCAUCACAUGUUACAAUUGGGGUAUUGAGAAAGAUAAACAUCAAGCUAAUCAAUCAUGUCUAACUAUGAGAGUAAACGAAGGGAGGUCAUAAUAUUAGCUAGUACAGUAAAUUGAACUAGAUAUGGUCAUUAUAUUUUGAUAUCUAGUCAGACAUGGUGAUACAACAAAGUGUUACGUUAGGUAAACAUGCUA